GAUGAACGCUGGCGGCGUGCCUAAUACAUGCAAGUCGAGCGAACAGAUAAGGAGCUUGCUCCUUUGACGUUAGCGGCGGACGGGUGAGUAACACGUGGAUAACCUACCUAUAAGACUGGGAUAACUUCGAGAAACCGGAGCUAAUACCGGAUAACAUAUUGAACCGCAUGGUUCAAUAGUGAAAGGCGGCUUUGCUGUCACUUAUAGAUGGAUCCGCGCCGUAUUAGCUAGUUGGUAAGGUAACGGCUUACCAAGGCAACGAUACGUAGCCGACCUGAGAGGGUGAUCGGCCACACUGGAACUGAGACACGGUCCAGACUCCUACGGGAGGCAGCAGUAGGGAAUCUUCCGCAAUGGGCGAAAGCCUGACGGAGCAACGCCGCGUGAGUGAUGAAGGUCUUCGGAUCGUAAAACUCUGUUAUCAGGGAAGAACAAAUGUGUAAGUAACUGUGCACAUCUUGACGGUACCUGAUCAGAAAGCCACGGCUAACUACGUG
rnacentral:rRNA from 1 species